UACGAAGGGGGGCUAGCGUUGUUCGGAAUUACUGGGCGUAAAGGGCGCGUAGGCGGUGUGUCAAGUCAGGCGUGAAAGCCCCGGGCUCAACCUGGGAACCGCGCUUGAGACUGGCACGCUAGAGUUCGGGAGAGGAUGGUGGAAUUCCCAGUGUAGAGGUGAAAUUCGUAGAUAUUGGGAAGAACACCGAUGGCGAAGGCAGCCAUCUGGACCGACACUGACGCUGAGGCGCGAAAGCGUGGGGAGCGAUCCGG
rnacentral:rRNA from 1 species